rnacentral:rRNA from 1 species
UACAGAGGGUGCGAGCGUUAAUCGGAAUUACUGGGCGUAAAGCGCACGUAGUCGGCUUUGCAAGACAGAUGUGAAAUCCCCGGGCUUAACCUGGGAACUGCAUUUGUGACUGCAUGGCUAGAGUGCGGCAGAGGGGGAUGGAAUUCCGCGUGUAGCAGUGAAAUGCGUAGAUAUGCGGAGGAACACCGAUGGCGAAGGCAAUCCCCUGGGCCUGCACUGACGCUCAUGCACGAAAGCGUGGGGAGCAAACAGG